GUAUAAGAAUUCAGUUCAGUGCAAGGGUUGUUGUUGAAGAAGCUAAAGCGGGGGAAUCAAAGACAGAAGUCGGAACUCCACUAGUACUUAACCUAGGACUUAUAAGACUUAAACCGGUGGGGCCUUCUAAUACUUUUUAUUAGAAUAAGGAAUCCAACCACUACUUCUAAGCAUGAAGCUAACAUCGAACUCUGGGGUCGCCAACUCAACUCUCAAGUGGGAAAUCCAGAAUGAAGUUCAAAACAAAGAGUACGUAAUGGAGGACAAAAACAAUCAAGUAAGAAUUGACUCCAGUAGUCAAAGAGACAAGUAGGAAUUUCAGAAGUCAUCUAUAAAGUAGGGGUACUCGGCUCAGGGGACUAAACUCCUAUUAGAGUUAUAAGACUCAUUAGGUAGUAGGGGUAUGGUACGAUCUAGGACAUGAGACUAAAGCAACAACUAAAUAAAGAAAAGAGCGCAUAGAACACAAGCCGGACUUUUGUUCGUUUCAAACUGGUAUUACUGAACCUAAUGCCUUUGUGUAUCGAUGUCCAAGCUUAUAUUUGAGUUUGAUGAUCCAUAGGCCCACUCUACUAUUGAAAUCUGGUAUUAGCCUUGGUAACUCCCUUCUUUCAUUCGUGUAUUUGCCCCUUCCAUUCCUUAGUUGUCCCUUGCACCCUUUUGCCUGUGAGUGAGAGCCUUAUUUGAGACUUAUUGUAGCAACGACGAUUGAUUCUAACUACUCUUGCUUCCUGGCCUACACGCCUUUAUCCCCGGAACUCAAAGCUACCCUUACUCGAUCUCAUUCUUGAGCUCCCGAACAAAG
rnacentral:lncRNA from 1 species